rnacentral:rRNA from 1 species
UGGGGAAUAUUGGGCAAUGGGCGCAAGCCUGACCCAGCCAUGCCGCGUGAGUGAUGAAGGCCUUAGGGUUGUAAAACUCUUUCGCUGGGGAAGAUAAUGACGGUACCCAGUAAAGAAGCUCCGGCUAACUACGUGCCAGCAGCCGCGGUAAUACGUAGGGGGCGAGCGUUGUCCGGAAUUAUUGGGCGUAAAGAGCGUGUAGGCGGCUUGGUAAGUCUGUCGUGAAAUGCUGGGGCUCAACCCUGGACGUGCGAUGGAUACUGCUAGGCUAGAGGAUGGUAGAGGCGAGUGGAAUUCCCGGUGUAGCGGUGAAAUGCGCAGAUAUCGGGAGGAACACCAGUAGUGAAGGCGGCUCGCUGGGCCAUUCCUGACGCUGAGACGCGAAAGCGUGGGGAGCAAACAGGAUUAGAUACCCCCGUAGUCC